rnacentral:tRNA from 1 species
GCAUUUGUAGUCCAACGGUUAGGAUAAAUUGCCUUCCAAGCAAUAGACCCGGGUUCGAGUCCUAGCAGACGGA